rnacentral:lncRNA from 1 species
UGGGCCAUACUGAGCAAACAGGAAUUGCCUUGGGACGCAUAUCAAAUAUAUAAUAAAUUUAAGGCAUUUCAGUAACCAACCUUUUUUAAAUGCAUUUUUUAGUAAAGCGUAAAAACAGCAGAGAGCAACAGCAACAUAAAACUAGUGGGAUGUUUGACCAUUAAGGGCCCUAAGGAAACAGGGAAUUCAAGAAGGCAGGUUAGAACCCAAGUGAGAGCUUGAUUGUGCUGCAAUGUGGAUGCCAUCGGAAGAGGAAGAAAAUUCACAAUUGAUUAGAUUUGUCUGCUUUGGGCUUGAAUUAUUCAUUGCAGAAAUGUACCCAGUGUGGCUUUUUGUUUGUUUGUUUGUUUUGUUUUGUUUUGUUCUUUGCAUCCUUAUAACCCACUGUGGUUAAUUCUCCAGGACUAAUCCUUUAGGUAUUACCUGCCCAGCCAAACUGAGCACACGCAUCUGCUGCAUCUCCUACGGGAACUCGGGAAAUCCCUUCCCCUGCUCCGUGUCCUGCUUUCAGCUGGGACAAAGUUGGUUUCCUUUGUAGGGUCUGGUGCGAUGCUGUGCUUUGGCUUUAGGAGAAGACUAUCGAUAACACACUCAUGUUUUAGUUUUGCUGAGCAGUGCUGCACAGAGCCAAGGAGAUUUCAGUUUCUCAGCUCCUCGCCCUGUCCUGCCAGCGAGGGGCUGGGGGGCAAGGAGCUGGGAGGGGACAGAGCCGGGACAGCUGCCCUCAACUGACCAAAGAGGUCUUCCAUCGCAUACGGGAUCACAUGAGGAACUCUAAAACUGAGAAGCGUUGGCCGGGGCGGGCCGCAGCUUGGGGUCUGGCCUGCGUGUCAGUUGGCGGGUGCAUAGGAACACAGGCCAGCAUCAGCACGGACAGCAGCACAGCGGAGACCACAGCAAUCACUGGGAUGUGGUGUUUUCGCAGCUCUUCGCCAACAGCGGCCGUUGUGAUUUUCCCAACAUCCACCCCUGGAAGAACCGAGACAAUGCCGCAGGUUACUGUCAUCUGCGCUGCAGAUGAUCUCACAGUGUGCUUCAUGGACCCAAGAGGUUUCCUUUAUCAUCAGUGGGUACCUCCAUCUCUGGUGUAUAAGCACCAGAGGACAAGAAGGAUUGCUUCCACUUCUCGUUGGGUAGGGAGAGGCUGCACCGGCACUCUGGGCUCAGGGCUGGGGCUCUGCCCUGGGGUCUGGGCUUUGUCCGUCGGGAGCAGUGCAGAGCAGAAACCCUCACACUUUCCCCAGCACACAUGUCCUGAGCUCUCCGCCAGAACAUCCCCCAGGCUGAAGGUCAGCCUCCAGCCAGCACAAGGCACAGCUGGAGCCAGCCCAGCAGAGAAACACUCCUGCAGGCUCCUACCACACAGGGCCAUGCUCAUCGCCCUUGCGUUCCUUUAUAGCACGUGCUCUGUACUAGCCUGCUCACGUUUGGCUGCCGGCCUGCUGCGCAAGAGCAGGCAGGAAGGGCCUGGUGGCACACAGUGAUUCUGGUUGGUGACACCAGAUGACCAUGGGACUGAAAUUACCUGGCAAUCCAGCUGCUUGUUCUGCCUGUGUUUUUCUGUCAGAGACUGGCCGUGUGUCACUGCUGCUUUCCUGCAAUGGCUCCUUCUGCACAGUCUCUUGGUCAGUCCCUUUAGUCCCACCAUGCGCUGCUUUCUCCAUUUUCUUCACAGGUUCCUUUAGGACACGGGAUGACCACCAGUAGUACUUCCCUCUUCUAGGUGUAUCCUUUCCUCUAUUUCCUCUUUGCGGACCUUAACAGAAUGCAUGAAGUUCAGUCUCCCGUGCUUGAAGUUUUGAAGACCAGCAGUGCGUCAGUGGAAUCAGUGAAGACCAUCUACUCACCCAUGGGAUUCCAACUGGUCUCCAUCGCAGGAAGGAGCCGAGAAACCAGCAAGGCCCUCCCCGGGGGCACUUCUGCAACCAAAGACCCAUGAAAAGUUUCCGUGCACAACGGCAUCACUGAAUAGUGGAGCAUACCAGGGGAUCGUGCAAGGAAAGGGCAUACACGCACAGGACUACGCUCUCACACCUGCAGACAGACCUGGCCGACAUUUGGCCUUUGAGCUGGCAGCUCUCAAAGGAACUAAAAAGCCAUGACAUACCCAUGUGAUCUGCCGGAGUUUCAGUCCUGGAACUCAGAGGGGAAGCUGGAGCACCUUCAUUUCCAGUCACACCUGCAAUCAAACACAGGACAGAGAGACUUUACUUAGACGUUCUUCCAGUCGGAAUGACGGGAUGCAAUUAAGACAGGGGAUUCCUUCGUGACGCUGUUCUCUCCGUUCCACAAAGGAGCAGCUUGGAAACAGAUCCUGGCUGCCCACAGGGGCACUGCCACAGACGCAGCUGUCACCAAGGGCAGAUGAGAAACGUUCCCAUUGCACGUGGCCACCUCUCUCUUCCUUAGUAACCUGCAGUGACUACAACGGGCUCAGGUACGGACGCGCGACUCAGAUGCAGGACUAAAGAUCCAAAGUUGCAGAGGGGCCAGGCGACCUGCUGGCUGGCAUUCAGCAGCUUUCAAAAUACUUUCUCCAGGCCAUGUGAAAGAGCCCUCAGAGACCUCACGGAACAACAUUCGGCCCCUUGAGGUUUUCUUACCGGGAGACCUCUGAGACAAAGCCAGCACGAUGCUGGGAGCUGAAGAGCUGAAGCCUUGCUGAACUAUCACCACCAAGUAUGAACAAAUAUCAAGGAAAUGAAGACUGGGGACUUACCCCUGGAGUCCACCCCAGGCUCAGGGACAGGAUUCUGCUGUGCGGAUUGAGCAAGAGGGCCUGCAGGGACAAGUGUGAUCAGACACUGGUGAGCAGAGCUUCCUCUGCACGUUGGGGCCUACUUUUUCCUCAGUGACCUGCAGGGUGUGGUGGCAGGUCAGGGCCCAAAUACGAAGGGCUGAGUUCUCUCAGCUGGAGAGGGGCAGGGUUAACAUUCCCACUGAAAUGUGGCAGCUCUCCAAGUCACAAAAUACUCAUGACUGAUCUGCGCAAGACCUCCAAGGUACAAGCAGGUUAGGAGGACCUUGAGAGGAUCUGAAAUAAAACUGCGUGCUGCUGGGGCACAAAUUUUUCUGCCUUCAUGGGAACAGACACUCAGAACCUACCUCUGGGUUGACCCCGAGGCACAAAACCUGGAUUCAGACUAUCAUCUGAAUAGGGCGCACCAAUGUCAUCAUCUACAAUCAAGAAGAACUGAUUAGAGAAGUUCCCAUUACUGGGGAUGUUGUGAUAUUCUUCUCCCUUAGCAACUGGAGGUGGGUCAGGCAAGGGGGCGGGAGAAAGACGCAGGUCAUGAUUUGCACAGUAGCAGAGUGGCCAGGAGGACCUCUUGGCUGCCACCUGGCAGCUUACAUGAUACGUUCUCCAAGCCACGUGCAAAAACCCUUAUGGACCACACAGAAGAAGAUUCAGCCCUUUGGGACUUUCUUACUGGGGCACCUCUGGUGUACACAAAGGAAGGUCACACCAAAGCACUGGAGGAAAACACACCUGCCUCUUCCUCUGGGCUGUGGGUGGGGGCUCUGUGUUGGAAACCGGGAUUUGUCUACGGGGAGUACCACCAGGCUGGAGCAGAA